rnacentral:rRNA from 1 species
GACGAACGCUGGCGGCGUGCUUAACACAUGCAAGUCGAACGGAAAGGCCCUGCUUUUGUGGGGUGCUCGAGUGGCGAACGGGUGAGUAACACGUGAGUAACCUGCCCUUGACUUUGGGAUAACUUCAGGAAACUGGGGCUAAUACCGGAUAGGAGCUCCUGCUGCAUGGUGGGGGUUGGAAAGUUUCGGCGGUUGGGGAUGGACUCGCGGCUUAUCAGCUUGUUGGUGGGGUAGUGGCUUACCAAGGCUUUGACGGGUAGCCGGCCUGAGAGGGUGACCGGCCACAUUGGGACUGAGAUACGGCCCAGACUCCUACGGGAGGCAGCAGUGGGGAAUAUUGCACAAUGGGCGGAAGCCUGAUGCAGCAACGCCGCGUGCGGGAUGACGGCCUUCGGGUUGUAAACCGCUUUCGCCUGUGACGAAGCGUGAGUGACGGUAAUGGGUAAAGAAGCACCGGCUAACUACGUGUCAGCAGCCGCGGUGAUACGUAGGGUGCGAGCGUUGUCCGGAUUUAUUGGGCGUAAAGGGCUCGUAGGUGGUUGAUCGCGUCGGAAGUGUAAUCUUGGGGCUUAACCCUGAGCGUGCUUUCGAUACGGGUUGACUUGAGGAAGGUAGGGGAGAAUGGAAUUCCUGGUGGAGCGGUGGAAUGCGCAGAAAUCAGGAGGAACACCAGUGGCGAAGGCGGUUCUCUGGGCCUUUCCUGACGCUGAGGAGCGAAAGCGUGGGGAGCGAACAGGCUUAGAUACCCUGGUAGUCCACGCUGUAAACGGUGGGUACUAGGUGUGGGGUCCAUUCCACGGGUUCCGUGCCGUAGCUAACGCUUUAAGUACCCCGCCUGGGGAGUACGGCCGCAAGGCUAAAACUCAAAGGAAUUGACGGGGCCCCGCACAAGCGGCGGAGCAUGCGGAUUAAUUCGAUGCAACGCGUAGAACCUUACCUGGGUUUGACAUGGAUCGGGAGUGCUCAGAGAUGGGUGUGCCUCUUUUGGGGUCGGUUCACAGGUGGUGCAUGGCUGUCGUCAGCUCGUGUCGUGAGAUGUUGGGUUAAGUCCCGCAACGAGCGCAACCCUUGUUCACUGUUGCCAGCACGUUAUGGUGGGGACUCAGUGGAGACCGCCGGGGUCAACUCGGAGGAAGGUGGGGAUGACGUCAAGUCAUCAUGCCCCUUAUGUCCAGGGCUUCACGCAUGCUACAAUGGCUGGUACAGAGAGUGGCGAGCCUGUGAGGGUGAGCGAAUCUCGGAAAGCCGGUCUCAGUUCGGAUUGGGGUCUGCAACUCGACCUCGUGAAGUCGGAGUCGCUAGUAAUCGCAGAUCAGCAACGCUGCGGUGAAUACGUUCCCGGG